UACGUAGGGUGCGAGCGUUAAUCGGAUUUACUGGGUGUAAAGCGUGCGCAGGCGGCCCGUUAAGACAGGUGUGAAAUCCCUGGGCUCAACCUAGGAAUUGCGCUUGUGACUGGCGGGCUCGAGUACGGUAGAGGGGGGUGGAAUUCCUGGUGUAGCAGUGAAAUGCGUAGAGAUCAGGAGGAACACCGAUGGCGAAGGCAGCCCCCUGGGCCUGUACUGACGCUCAUGCACGAAAGCGUGGGGAGCAAACAGG
rnacentral:rRNA from 1 species